GUGGGGAAUCUUGCGCAAUGGGCGAAAGCCUGACGCAGCCAUGCCGCGUGAAUGAUGAAGGUCUUAGGAUUGUAAAAUUCUUUCACCGGGGACGAUAAUGACGGUACCCGGAGAAGAAGCUCCGGCUAACUUCGUGCCAGCAGCCGCGGUACUACGAAGGGGGCUAGCGUUGCUCGGAAUUACUGGGCGUAAAGGGCGCGUAGGCGGACAGCUUAGUCAGAGGUGAAAGCCCAGGGCUCAACCUUGGAAUUGCCUUUGAUACUGGCUGUCUUGAGUUUGGGAGAGGUGAGUGGAACUCCGAGUGUAGAGGUGAAAGUCGUAGAUAUUCGGAAGAACACCAGUGGCGAAGGCGACUCACUGGCCCAAUACUGACGCUGAGGCGCGAAAGCGUGGGGAGCAAACAGGAUUAGAUACCCGAGUAGUCC
rnacentral:rRNA from 1 species